rnacentral:rRNA from 1 species
AUUGAACGCUGGCGGCAUGCUUUACACAUGCAAGUCGAACGGUAACAGGCCGCAAGGUGCUGACGAGUGGCGAACGGGUGAGUAAUGCAUCGGAACGUGCCCAGUCGUGGGGGAUAACUACUCGAAAGAGUAGCUAAUACCGCAUACGAUCUAUGGAUGAAAGCGGGGGACCGUAAGGCCUCGCGCGAUUGGAGCGGCCGAUGUCAGAUUAGGUAGUUGGUGGGGUAAAGGCUCACCAAGCCAACGAUCUGUAGCUGGUCUGAGAGGACGACCAGCCACACUGGGACUGAGACACGGCCCAGACUCCUACGGGAGGCAGCAGUGGGGAAUUUUGGACAAUGGGCGCAAGCCUGAUCCAGCAAUGCCGCGUGCAGGAAGAAGGCCUUCGGGUUGUAAACUGCUUUUGUACGGAACGAAACGGCUCUGGUUAAUACCCGGGGCUAAUGACGGAACCGUAAGAAUAAGCACCGGCUAACUACAUG